UGCAAGUCGAACGGACCCUUCGGGGUUAGUGGCGGACGGGUGAGUAACACGUGGGAACGUGCCUUUAGGUUCGGAAUAGCUCCUGGAAACGGGUGGUAAUGCCGAAUGUGCCCUUCGGGGGAAAGAUUUAUCGCCUUUAGAGCGGCCCGCGUCUGAUUAGCUUGUUGGUGGGGUAAUGGCCCACCAAGGCUACGAUCAGUAGCUGGUCUGAGAGGAUGACCAGCCACAUUGGGACUGAGACACGGCCCAAACUCCUACGGGAGGCAGCAGUGGGGAAUCUUGCGCAAUGGGCGAAAGCCUGACGCAGCCAUGCCGCGUGUAUGAUGAAGGUCUUAGGAUUGUAAAAUACUUUCACCGGUGAAGAUAAUGACUGUAGCCGGAGAAGAAGCCCCGGCUAACUUCGUGCCAGCAGCCGCGGUAAUACGAAGGGGGCUAGCGUUGCUCGGAAUUACUGGGCGUAAAGGGAGCGUAGGCGGACAUUUAAGUCAGAGGUGAAAUCCCGGAGCUCAACUCCGGAACUGCCUUUGAUACUGGGUGUCUUGAGUGUGAGAGAGGUAUGUGGAACUCCGAGUGUAGAGGUGAAAUUCGUAGAUAUUCGGAGGAACACCAGUGGCGAAGGCGGCUCAC
rnacentral:rRNA from 1 species